GAUGAACGCUGGCGGCGUGCCUAAUACAUGCAAGUCGAGCGAACAGACGAGGAGCUUGCUCCUCUGACGUUAGCGGCGGACGGGUGAGUAACACGUGGAUAACCUACCUAUAAGACUGGGAUAACUUCGGGAAACCGGAGCUAAUACCGGAUAAUAUAUUGAACCGCAUGGUUCAAUAGUGAAAGACGGUUUUGCUGUCACUUAUAGAUGGAUCCGCGCUGCAUUAGCUAGUUGGUAAGGUAACGGCUUACCAAGGCAACGAUGCGUAGCCGACCUGAGAGGGUGAGCGGCCACACUGGAACUGAGACACGGUCCAGACUCCUACGGGAGGCAGCAGUAGGGAAUCUUCCGCAAUGGGCGAAAGCCUGACGGAGCAACGCCGCGUGAGUGAUGAAGGUCUUCGGAUCGUAAAACUCUGUUAUUAGGGAAGAACAAAUGUGUAAGUAACUAUGCACGUCUUGACGGUACCUAAUCAGAAAGCCACGGCUAACUACGUG
rnacentral:rRNA from 1 species